CUGUGGCCAAAUCAUAUUGAAACACCAGUCCCCAUCGAUCACUGGAGUUAAGCAAUAUCAAGUCAGGUCAGUACCUAGAUGGGUAACUUCUUGGGAAUAUCAGGUGUUGUAAG